rnacentral:rRNA from 1 species
AACGAACGCUGGCGGCGUGCUUAACACAUGCAAGUCGAACGCGAAAGGGACUUCGGUCCUGAGUAAAGUGGCGGCACGGGUGAGUAACGCGUAGAUAACCUGUCUUCAUGUCUGGAAUAAUACGCCAAAGGGGUACUAAUACCGGAUAUCUUGCUUUUCAUAAGUUAUGCAAGCAAAGGUGGCCUCUGCAUAUGCUACUGCAUGAAGAGGGGUCUGCGUACCAUUAGCUAGUAGGUGGGGUAAUGGCCUACCUAGGCGACGAUGGUUAGCGGGUCUGAGAGGAUGAUCCGCCACACUGGCACUGGAACACGGGCCAGACUCCUACGGGAGGCAGCAGUGAGGAAUAUUGCGCAAUGGGGGAAACCCUGACGCAGCGACGCCGCGUGAGUGAGGGAAAAGGCCUUCGGGUCGUAAAGCUCUGUCAAGAGGAAAGAAGUGUACAAUGGCUAAUACCUGUUGUAUUUGACGGUACCUCUAAAGGAAGCACCGGCUAACUCCGUGCCAGCAGCUGC